GGUCAAUGAGCAAGUGUCUUUUUCUUUUAAUUACUUAUUUUUAGCCAUGGAUUUGUCUAAAUUGAUCUAAAGAAUUUACUCAUUCUUAAAUCUUUUUCAUUCUAAUAAAUUGCAAAAGAGCUUUUAAAAUAAAAAAUGUUUUCCAACUUGGUUAUUCAACCAUUUAAUAUUUAGCACUCAUGUCUUUCUAUUAAAAUUAACUAAUCUAAGUUUGGCCGGUAACCGUCAUUAAUGGAUCUUAGAGGAUGCUUAACCCCUUUCCUUUAGGAUAAUUAGAACUCUUACCUAGAAUUUCAUGUUUAGUAGACCUUAAUUGAAGUCAAUUUUAGCAUUACAUAGUUAAUAAUUUAGGUAUCCUAAUUCACCUUAAAAAUAAUUAGGUAGCGACUUCUCAAGUUAAUAAUUUGAAAAUCACCAAUAUGUUGUACACGUUUUGACCUCGAGUUAAAAUGGGGUAUAACAAAUAUUUAUUAUUGAAAAUGGUAUUCAUUAGUAAGUAUAUUUCGAGAUUUUGAAAUGUUGCUAUAUAAGAAGAGGGAAUAGCACACAUGUCUCCGUCAACGCAUGUGCUUCCCUGUAAAAACAUUGAAGUUGAAGGGCUAUUUCUGUCAUUUUCCUUUUCUGCAUCAAUUCUAACGCCUCCUCCAUUGUUAACCAUCGGCCAUCUCCAUCUGCUCUCUCCUCUUCUACUCUGCUCCUUCAUAGUUGGGUCCAGGUGAACAUAAUUUACACUUGACAAUAUUGCAUCAACCGUAACGCCGCCUUUGAUGUGCAGCACCGCCACACACCUCAAAUUUGGCCAACCAGCAAACGCCGCCAUCUUCGCACCUCGGUUCUCCUCUCCUCUUCGCUUGUUCUCAAUUUUGCACUUUGGUGAAGUCUACAGCUGCUUCCUAUCUCAGUGAAUGGAACUACUACUCCCCACAGGGAACAUGCAGGGUUACCAGUGUUGCAGCUUAUCCAAUACAACAACAAAUGUUACUCUUUGUAGAUGCCUUAUGAAGAGUCGACAGUUCAAACUAUGUCAAAUAGUUAAUUCAACUGCCUACGCCUACUGACGACAAAAAUAAGGACACACAACAGCCACAAUAUUUGAUUAUGAGUGAAUCUAAUAAGUUUAAUUUUUCAUUCUAAAACAAUACUACUACAAUCCUUUUUUGCCUCUCAUUUCCAAAAUGGUUGUUCCCAAACAAGAUACCUCCUGCAGAUCAACCAAGAUGCAUACUCAACUCAAUCACUAAACUACUCCGCUUUACUUGUGAGCAUAACAUAUUGUAAUAACCUUCCCAGUGAUUUUGUUUUUGUUGGGCCGGGCAUCACCCGGGCAAC